GGUUAAGCAAGCAGCCGUGUGAUCAUGUCUUCCGACAAAACCUAGAAUCGUAAAGAAGACCAGGUGCUUCUCCCGGGACAAGACCUGGUGCGUGUCCUGGGUCAGAUGCUGGUCCAGCCCGGUUCUGCUGGAGGACACCACCUGUUCCGGACAGCCCGUUUGCUCCAAAUGCUGGACAUGUGCCCAGGGUGUUCCUUGGGUGUGAUUUGACUGUUUAUUUGAUCUCAUGAGAGAGCAAGAGAAAAGCCUUGCUGGUCUCCUGUUACGAGAAUGAACUUGAACGAUGCUCUGCUGCGGACGAAGGCUGCCUUAGGACAGGAGGUGACAGGCGACGUCGGCCAGGAGAAGCAUGCACCCUGGUGACGAGAGGCAGCGCCCUUCUCCGGCCUUCCUCGUCAAAGGAGGGAAACACCAGACUGACCCCAACAGAGGGACACGCUGCACAGUCCCAUCAGCAACCCUCGGAACUGUCAGGGUGUCGGAAACAAGGAGAGUCUGAGAAAAAGUCACAGACGAGAGGAGGCUAAGGAGCCACCAUGACCUGAGUGUCAUGUGGCGUCCUGGAGGGGAACCUGGAAGAGAAAAGGAACAUUUGGGAAAGACUAAGGAAAUCUGGGUAAUACAGUAAGGCUUUCAGUCAAUAAUAAGGUAUAAACAUCCGUCCAUUCGCUGCGGUGAGUGCUCUGUCUCGCCUGUCAGCAUGUUACAGAUAGAGGACGCUGGCCUAGGCCCAUGGGAAAGCUAGACAAGCUUCAUGAUUUUUCUGCAAAUCUAAAACUAAUCUGAAACAAAACAUCUAUUUAAAAAUAAACAGCAUGGCACCAGGCACGGUGGUGCACACCUG